AAUCAAAACUAACAUACAUGUCCUUUCAAAUAAAACUGGCGGGCUGUUAAACUAUAGAUGUCAGAAACCCUCUGCUGCCUCUUUAUUUAACUGGUUUAAAAUACUUGACAGCAAAGCAAUUACUGUCAAAUGAACAGGAAAGCAUGAGGCCAAAUACCAUUCCCACAGGUACUGUAAAUGUUUAAUACUAUAUUUUGGCAGCUGUUACUUUUAAUAAGAUGUAGCAAAAAUAUUUAUAGAAGUAGAUUGUCUCAGGAGAUUGUUUGGGCAGCUUUGUCACUUCUCACAGACUGCUCCAGAAGCUGUCCACCCAACAAAGCAUGGUUUUAUGUUAACUCUGCUCAGGAGCUUCGGCAGAGGCUGGUGCAGCCAGCAAAUAAGAGUUAAUAUUUGAAUCAGAACAUUACUGUCCUGGGGAUAAAAAAGAAACAAGAAAAAACUCACUUUCCCAUGAAGGGCCUUCUUCUCAAGUUGACCGCCACAGUUCAUAAGCCUGUUUCCUGAUUUCUCAUCACUAAAUCUGGACACCAAAUUAAAUCUUUUAAAAAUCCUGAUUGUGACAGUUUAUCAGCUUACUUUGAAAAUACCAGAAGCAGUAUAUUCUGAGAUAUAUAGUACACAACCGAGACCAUCAAUCUAACUCAGUGAAAAGGCAUAUUUAUUGUCAGGCAUUUUUUUCUGUAAUCUGUCCUGCCACACACAUUCCUUGGAACAAUCAAGACUCCUAGUUCCUUUAGUUAUUUCUUGCUUUUAAUAUAUUCAAGAGAUUCUAACUAAAAGCAAGAUUUAAUAAGCUUCCAUGCUUUUCUUUGAUGUUUAGUUCCCAAAUAAAUUUGUGCAUAAUGACCUUUGCCUUUAGUGAAAGUUAGAUGUAUCAACAACUCUUAAGUCCACACUGUAGCUCUGUUAAGUCACUUAGAAACUGACUUGGGUCCUGAUGCCUUUUACAAAGAGAAACCGUUAAGUUUCUCAUUCUUCCCUCCCAAAAGAAUAUAUUUUUAAAUAUUCUCUGUAGUCAAACUGCCAGGAUACCAGAGUUGCAUUGUUUAGUUUUUUAUGAAAGAAGUGGUCAAGAAGCAAGCUGGGGUCACCAACUUGGUCAGACCCAAAAUAUCCUUAUUAUAUGGCCUACAUACGAACACUCCUACAAGUGUUUGCUCCUUAAAGAAGUAACGCUUAGGAGUUGGUAUCCAUCUUUGCUCCACUACCAGUAGAAAUUACAUGAGCCCCCUGCUGUCCAGUGAAGUGCACAGUCCAGUUCACAUGCCUACCAGGACUCCUACCAAGAUGGACUGUAUUCAGUUUUUAAUUCUGAAACGAGUAUAAUUUGAGGUGUUGGCAUUUUGUCCAUGGGACUCUUGUCUCUUGGAAUGGUUCUGCAGUCAUGUGUAUUGAAAUGUCUAAUG